GACGAACGCUGGCGGCGUGCUUAACACAUGCAAGUCGAGCGAACAGACGCUGAUUUUGUUGGGCGCACGUUAGGCGCAGGGGUGUGUGACACACGUGUAUAACCCACUUAUCUUUCGGGUAUAUUCAGGGGAAUCCGGAUCAUACACGAGAGAAGAUCCUGCUCCACAGGGGGGAAUGGAGAGUGACGGCGGUUGUGUCACGACUAGAGGCUUCUGCGCUGCAUUAGCUAGUUGGUGAGGUAACGGCUUAUCAAGGCUACGAUGCGUAGCCGAACUGAGAGGGUGGUAGGCCACACUGGAACUGAGACACGGUCCAGACUCCUACGGGAGGCAGCAGUAGGGAAUCUUCCGCAAUGGGCGAAAGCUUGACGGAGCAACGCCGCGUGAGUGAUGAAGGUCUUCGGAUCGUAAAACUCUGUUAUUAGGGAAGAACAAAUGUGUAAGUAACUAUGCACGUCUUGACGGUACCUAAUCAGAAAGCCACGGCUAACUACGUG
rnacentral:rRNA from 1 species